CGUGGAGUAGAGCAGUCAGGUAGCUCGCCAGCCUCAUAAGCUGGAGGUCGUGAGUUCGAAUCUCACCUCCGCAACCA
rnacentral:tRNA from 3 species